AGAGUUUGAUCCUGGCUCAGAUUGAACGCUGGCGGCAUGCCUUACACAUGCAAGUCGAACGGUAACAGGUUAAGCUGACGAGUGGCGAACGGGUGAGUAAUGUAUCGGAACGUGCCCAGUCGUGGGGGAUAACUACUCGAAAGAGUGGCUAAUACCGCAUGAGACCUGAGGGUGAAAGCGGGGGAUCGCAAGACCUCGCGCGAUUGGAGCGGCCGAUAUCAGAUUAGCUAGUUGGCGGGGUAAAAGCCCACCAAGGCGACGAUCUGUAGCUGGUCUGAGAGGACGACCAGCCACACUGGGACUGAGACACGGCCCAGACUCCUACGGGAGGCAGCAGUGGGGAAUUUUGGACAAUGGACGAAAGUCUGAUCCAGCCAUGCCGCGUGCGGGAAGAAGGCCUUCGGGUUGUAAACCGCUUUUGUCAGGGAAGAAACGACGUCCUCUAAUACAGGGUGUUAAUGACGGUACCUGAAGAAUAAGCACCGGCUAACUACGUGCCAGCAGCCGCGGUAAUACGUAGGGUGCAAGCGUUAAUCGGAAUUACUGGGCGUAAAGCGUGCGCAGGCGGUUAUGCAAGACAGAUGUGAAAUCCCCGGGCUCAACCUGGGAACUGCAUUUGUGACUGCAUGGCUAGAGUACGGUAGAGGGGGAUGGAAUUCCGCGUGUAGCAGUGAAAUGCGUAGAUAUGCGGAGGAACACCGAUGGCGAAGGCAAUCCCCUGGACCUGUACUGACGCUCAUGCACGAAAGCGUGGGGAGCAAACAGGAUUAGAUACCCUGGUAGUCCACGCCCUAAACGAUGUCAACUGGUUGUUGGGAGGGUUUCUUCUCGGUAACGUAGCUAACGCGUGAAGUUGACCGCCUGGGGAGUACGGCCGCAAGGUCGAAACUCAAAGGAAUUGACGGGGACCCGCACAAGCGGUGGAUGAUGUGGUUUAAUUCGAUGCAACGCGAAAAACCUUACCUACCCUUGACAUGUCUGGAAUCCUGAAGAGAUUUGGGAGUGCUCGAAAGAGAGCCAGAACACAGGUGCUGCAUGGCCGUCGUCAGCUCGUGUCGUGAGAUGUUGGGUUAAGUCCCGCAACGAGCGCAACCCUUGUCAUUAGUUGCUACGAAAGGACACUCUAAUGAGACUGCCGGUGACAAACCGGAGGAAGGUGGGGAUGACGUCAGGUCAUCAUGGCCCUUAUGGGUAGGGCUACACACGUCAUACAAUGGCCGGUACAGAGGGCUGCCAACCCGCGAGGGGGAGCCAAUCCCAGAAAACCGGUCGUAGUCCGGAUCGUAGUCUGCAACUCGACUGCGUGAAGUCGGAAUCGCUAGUAAUCGCGGAUCAGCUUGCCGCGGUGAAUACGUUCCCGGGUCUUGUACACACCGCCCGUCACACCAUGGGAGCGGGUUCUGCCAGAAGUAGUUAGCCUAACCGCAAGGGGGGCGAUUACCACGGCAGGGUUCGUGACUGGGGUGAAGUCGUAACAAGGUA
rnacentral:rRNA from 1 species